rnacentral:rRNA from 1 species
UACGUAGGGGGCUAGCGUUGUCCGGAAUCAUUGGGCGUAAAGAGCGCGUGUAGGCGGCCCGGUAAGUCCGCUGUGAAAGUCCAGGGCUCAACCCUGGGAUGCCGGUGGAUACUGUCGGGCUCGAGUCCGGAAGAGGCGAGUGGAAUUCCUGGUGUAGCGGUGAAAUGCGCAGAUAUCAGGAAGAACACCCGUGGCGAAGGCGGCUCUCUGGGACGGUACUGACGCUGAGACGCGAAAGCGUGGGGAGCGAACAGG